UUUAUUAUUAUUAAAUAAUAAAAAUUAUAGAAAAUAUAGAUAUAAUAUGGGCAAAUCUCCAAAAUAGCACCUAUCUAAGUUUAUAUCACAAAAAUAGCACUCAAAAACUAAAAUGACCAAAAUAACACCUUUCAAAGUUUAUCCUUUGAAAAUUUUAAUUUUUUUAUUUUUCAAAAUUUGAAAUCUUAUCCCCAAAACCUCAUUUCUCAACUCUAAACCCUAAACCCUAAACUCUAAACCUUAAACCCUAAACCAUAAACCCUAAAUCCUAAACUCUAAACCCUAAACUCUAAACUCUAAACCCUAAACCCUAAACCCUAAACCCUAAACCCUAAAAUCUAAAUCUUAAACCCUAAACUGUAAACCCUAAACCCUAAACCCUAAAUCAUAAACCCCACCCUUUAACUCUAAACCCUAAGUUUGUGACUUUUGAUAAAACAUUAAGUGCUAUUUUUGUGACUUUUGAUCUUGAGUGGUAGUUUGGGAACAAAAACUUGAUUCAGUGCUAUUUUUGUCUUAUUCUCGUAUAAUAUUUGUGAAAUAUUUUUUUCUUUGAACAUCUAUCUUUUAAGAUGAGAGCGUAUUAUUCUGCGUAAUUAAAUAUUAUCCUACCUAUGAAACACUUACAACAUAAACCAUCCCUAUACAGAGAUAAAUAAAACAUUUUUAUUGUUCUUAC
rnacentral:lncRNA from 1 species